rnacentral:rRNA from 1 species
UACGUAGGUGGCAAGCGUUGUCCGGAUUUAUUGGGUUUAAAGGGUGCGUAGGCGGCCCUGUAAGUCAGUGCUGAAAUAUCCCAGCUUAACUGGGAGGGUGGCAUUGAUACUGCGAGGCUAGAGUACAGAUGAGGUAGGCGGAAUUGACGGUGUAGCGGUGAAAUGCUUAGAUAUCGUCAAGAACACCUAUAGCGAAGGCAGCUUACUAGGCUGUAACUGACGCUGAGGCACGAAAGUGUGGGGAUCAAACAGG